AUUGAACGCUGGCGGCAUGCCUAACACAUGCAAGUCGAACGGCAGCACAGCCCGCAAGGGUGGGUGGCGAGUGGCGGACGGGUGAGGAAUACAUGGGAAUCUACCCUGUCGUGGGGGAUAACGUAGGGAAACUUACGCUAAUACCGCAUACGACCUCCGGGUGAAAGCGGCGGACCGCAAGGCGUCGCGCGACUGGAUGAGCCCAUGUCGGAUUAGCUAGUUGGCGGGGUAAAGGCCCACCAAGGCGACGAUCCGUAGCUGGUCUGAGAGGAUGAUCAGCCACACUGGAACUGAGACACGGUCCAGACUCCUACGGGAGGCAGCAGUGGGGAAUAUUGGACAGUGGGCGCAAGCCUGAUCCAGCAAUGCCGCGUGGGUGAAGAAGGCCUUCGGGUUGUAAAGCCCUUUUGUACGGGAAGAAAUCCUGUCGGUUAGUACCCGGCGGGGAUGACGGUACCGUAAGAAUAAGCACCGGCUAACUUCGUGCCAGCAGCCGCCGUAA
rnacentral:rRNA from 1 species